UACGUAGGAUCCGAGCGUUGUCCGGAUUUACUGGGUGUAAAGGGUGCGCAGGCGGACUGGUAAGUCAGAGGUGAAAUCUCGUCGCUCAACGACGAAACUGCCUUUGAUACUAUCAGUCUUGAAUCCGGUAGAGAUCUGUGGAAUUCCGAGUGUAGCAGUGAAAUGUGUAGAUAUUCGGAAGAACACCAGUGGCGAAGGCGGCUCACUGGCCCGGUACUGACGCUGAGGCGCGAAAGCGUGGGGAGCAAACAGG
rnacentral:rRNA from 1 species